rnacentral:tRNA from 1 species
GGGCCUAUAGCUCAGUUGGCAGAGCAUCGGACUUUUAAUCCGCGGGUCGAGGGUUCGAGCCCCUCUGGGCCCACCA